UACGUAGGGGGCGAGCGUUGUCCGGAAUUAUUGGGCGUAAAGGGUGUGUAGGCGGCUUUGCAAGUCAGAUGUGAAAUGCCACGGCUUAACCGUGGGACUGCAUUUGAAACUGCAGGGCUUGAGUUCGGAAGAGGAAAACGGAAUUCCUAGUGUAGCGGUGAAAUGCGUAGAUAUUAGGAGGAACACCAGUGGCGAAGGCGACUUUCUGGACUGUAACUGACGCUGAGGCGCGAAAGCGUGGGGAGCAAACAGG
rnacentral:rRNA from 1 species